rnacentral:rRNA from 1 species
ACUCCUACGGGAGGCAGCAGUGGGGAAUAUUGCGCAAUGGGCGAAAGCCUGACGCAGCCAUGCCGCGUGUGUGAAGAAGGCCUUCGGGUUGUAAAGCACUUUCAAUUGGGAAGAAAGGUUGCGUGUUAAUAGCACGUAGCUGUGACGUUACCUUUAGAAGAAGCACCGGCUAACUCCGUGCCAGCAGCCGCGGUAAUACGGAGGGUGCGAGCGUUAAUUGGAAUUACUGGGCGUAAAGCGCGCGUAGGCGGUUUGUUAAGUCGGAUGUGAAAGCCCGCGCUCAACCUGGGAACUGCAUUCGAUACUGGCCGACUAGAGUACGAGAGAGGGAGGUAGAAUUCCACGUGUAGCGGUGAAAUGCGUAGAUAUGUGGAGGAAUACCGGUGGCGAAGGCGGCCUCCUGGCUCGAUACUGACGCUGAGGUGCGAAAGCGUGGGUAGCAAACAGGAUUAGAUACCCUGGUGAGACAUC